AUGAAGGAGGCGAGGACACUGCGGCGCGUUACCAUCAAAGACAUGCAACCCGAUGUUUUCAGCGCCCUACUCCAUUUCAUUUAUACAGACUCUUUGCCUGAUGGUGAUAAGAAUGCUGACAUGAUCCGGCAUUUACUAGUGGCUGCAGACAGAUAUGCCAUGGAGAGGCUCAAGCUGGUUUGCCAAAGUAUCCUUUGCCAGAAUCUGAACGUCGACACCGUGGCAACCACAUGGGCUUUGGCUGACCAGCAUAGCUGCGACAAGCUUAAGGAUGCUUGCCUUGAGUACAUCGCUUGUUCGAAUGCCAUGGAUGCUGUGGUGGAAACCCAAGGCUAUAAGAAUCUCAAAGUGACUGACCCGUCUCUCAUAGUGGAUCUGUUGGAGAGUACAAAAAAGAUUCGCAAUGCAUGA
rnacentral:rRNA from 1 species